rnacentral:lncRNA from 1 species
GCGUGUACGGUUGUCGCGCUUUAACUUCUCCUCGGAUCUCCGGCUUCAAGCCCUCAAUAAAGGUCCUCAAUAGCUGUUUUUGAGACCAAUCAAGAGUUUGAUUAGAUAACCUUUCAAACCUGGUUUGGUACUCCUGAAUGGUGGAGGUUUGUCGGAUCUUUGCUAGUUGUCCGUCAAUAUUCUCGUAAUCGGUUGGUCUGAAGCGGAUCAGCAGUCCUUCUUUGAAUUGUUGCCAUGAAAGGACUCCAUAAGUAUGUUCAAACCAGUCAAACCACUGUAUAGCAUCCCCUUCAAGAUGUAUAGCUGCAAUUUUCACCAUAGAUACAUCCGCGGUUUUGUGG